AUUUUUGUUUUGAAAUAUCAGCGGCAUAGGCGGGUUCCCAACAAUUACCUCUUUACAUGAAGAAGUCAUUAGAGAACAUUCUAGUAUGAUGGCUGGUCAUUCUAGAAGAGAUAAAACCAUUGCAAUCAAGGUAUGCCAAAUCAACCGAACCGGACAGUAUAGGGUGUACCGUACUAUACCGGUUUGGUACCGAUACACAAUACGAAGGGUGUGGCAACAUUCGGUAUAGUGAACCGGCCUUGUACUGUACCGUACCGACAUAGUGAUAGGGUUGACACCGGUAUGAGGCCGGUACCAAGAUGGGAUACCUUGAUUGCAAUGGUUGUGGACCAUUUCUAUUGGCCUAGUUUCAAGCGAGAAGUUGGUAGAAGUGUCUCACAAUGUUGGAGUCAUCAAAUUUCAAAGGGAAGAAAGAAAUAUACACUCAUUAUCUUUGCCACAUGAGCCUUGGCAAGACCUAAGCAUGGACUUUGUCCUAGGGUUGCCAAAGUCUCCUAGGGGUCAUGAUUAUGUUCUUAUGGUUGUGGAUCACCUAUUCUAAGAUGGCUCACUAUAUUCCUUGUUCGAAGACUCUCAUUGCUUUCUGUUGUGCUAAACUCUUCUUUAAGAAAGUUGUUCUUCCAAGGUCCGCUGAACCGGUACUGAGACCCAUAUCGGUCAGCGGACGGGCCGGUACGGUUCGGCCUACGAAUAGUUCUUCUUCAUGGGGUGCCUAAGACUAUUGUUUCUAAUCAUAAUAUGAAAUUCAUAAGAUACUUUUGGUGCACAUUAUGGAAGAUUCUAAAAACGAAGCUACAAUUUUCUUCUUCAUUUAUUCACAAAUUGAUGGUGCAAGGGAAGUUGUUAAUAGGAGUUUGGGUGGUUUGCUUCAUUGUUGUGUUGGUGAUCAUGUUAAUAAUUGGGAUCAGGUUCUUCCUUUAGCUGAAUUUACUUAUAAUAGUUUGGUAAAUGGAACUAUAGGUCGUAGUCUCUUCGAGAUUGUGACAGGUUCAAUUCCAAGAAAGCCAUUGCCGGUGUUGAAGCUGAAGCUUUUGCCAAACAUAUUUGUGAGCUACAUGAUGAAAUUGGAAGAAAGAUCACUUUGAGCAAUGAAGGCUAUGCAGUUCAUGCUAAUUUGAGAAGAUGGUUUGCUGUAUUCAAAGAGACAUGGUUAUGGUGUGAAUCAGACUUGAACAUUACCCUAAGGGGGGUGCAUACAAGAAACUUCAUUCAAAAAGUGCUGGCCUCUACAAGAUUCUCAAGAAAAUAGGCUUUGAUGCUUAUAUUUUUGACCUGCCCGAGGAUAUGGGGAUUAGUAAUAUCUUUAAUGUUGAAGAUCUCACUUUAUAUCAAGGCCAUGAUGAUGAUGCACAACAUGACACCCUUGGUUCUAGACUUCUACCAGCUCCACAUUUGAAAAAGGAGAUUGAAGACAUUGUUGACCAUCAAGUGGUUUCUACGAGAGGUGGUGGCUGCCAAAAGUAUCUUGUCAAAUGGAGGGGGUGUCCACUUUCAGAGUGUACAUGGAUUGCGGAUGAAGAGCUCCAAAAUGCUUGGUCAUGAUCUUUAUGAUAAAUUCCAUGCUUUUACCUCGCGAGAGUCGAGUCUUCUCAAGCAGGGGAUGGAUGAUGGAGGACGUUGGCAGCAGCCAUUAAAGACUUAUAAAAGGCACCUUAAGGCUGAUUUUAAUGCUCAAGCCUUGCUUUGGAAUGUGUUGGAUGAUGUGGGGUCAUCUUGGGACCUUGCUUAGAGUCAGUUAGUUAUUCUGGAAUCUUAGUUUUAUUUUGUUCAACAGUAGUAUAAUGCUGGUUCAGUUUUAUUAAUGUUUUCUCCAGAUUUUAUAGUUAGGGGCAUUUUUGUAAUUUUUCAGAUUUUCUGGACAUAGUUUGUUAUAUGGUUCAUGGAUCAUAUUUUAGGUCUAUUUAUCUUUUGGGACUUUAUUUAUAGUCUUUAGUUGGGUUUUAUUUGUCCAGAUUACAGAUUUGUUAUUUGGAGUCGAAGUCCUAAUAGGAGUAGGAGUAUUAAAAGUCCUUAAUGCGGUCGUAAUCUCUAUUAUUUGUAGGAAAUCAAAAUAUCAGAGAUUUUUAUUAGCAGUUAUGCUUUCUCUUAGAGUUGUGUAAUAUCACUGUAACCCUAGGUGUGAUGUCUAAGGGAUUCUAGGUGUGCUUCCCAGAAAAAAAAGUUUUCUAUCUCUUUUUUUUCUUUAAUUACAACAUCCUAAAAUCUCAAACUUAGAUCUAAUUCUAUCCUCACUAAACCCUAGCAACCAAAAGCAACAAAACUCAUGGCAACUCAUCCAUCAAUUAGCCUUUAAAUUCACAAAACAAACAAAAUUUUUUAUUGUCGUUUUUCUACUCUCAACCCACAUAAAACCUUCAAAACUUCAUCUUUUUGCCUCUAUUUUGCUCCCAAAUAACUCCUCAUCCAUAUACCAACAUAAAUCCUAGUUUCUUACAUAAUUUUCCUUCCCUUUCAGCACAAAACAACCCAUUAAGAAUCCCUGAAAUUUUCCUAACCAAGGCUGUUGUACAUCAGUUUGGUAUAAGACCUGAGGUUUGCAACAUGUUCACGCGUCCAGGAAGGCCUUUUAGAGGAAGACUAACUAAUAUCCAACGACAUAGGAUGUUGUUCAGAAUCAUGGCGCAACUAGAUGGAAUAGCUGCUCUAUUUGAUGAUGUUGAAAGCUGGAUUUCUCAACCUAGUUGCAACCUGACAGUUGGUGCUCAAGUAGAAACAUUGAAUGUAACAAUAAUGCAGGAUAUGGUGAAAGUUAAGAAAUUCGGCUUGAAAAACAGCAACAAAAUCCUUUCCAGAGAUGUGAUUUGAGGGUUGUUCAUGUGCAAGGAGCUUGUCAAAAUCCUAAUCUUGAGUGGGCUAGAGAAUCUUUGGAAAGAGCUGGCUAUGAACCAUAUGAUACAACUGGUGAUAAAACAAAGAACGUUAGGAUGGAUGUUCCAGAUUUUGAAGGAAGGAAUGAUCCUGCAAUAUUCCUUGAUUGGUUGGCUUCUAUUGAGGACUAUUUUGAUUGGUAUGACAUGAUCGAUGAACAAAGAGUGAGAUUUGCCAAGAUGAAGCAGGUAGGCUUAGCAAAAGUUUAGUGGACUGGUACUGUUACUGAACGUGAUAUUAGGAGGUUGACAUAGCCACCAAUUAGUACAUGAUAAGAGAUGAAAGCAGGGCCGACAGAAUCGGUACCGGGCACCAUAUCGGUUGUCUGGCGGCAUGAGUUGGUAUGGGCCUGCACCGUGCCGUGCCAGGCCUGUACCGACAUAGUAGAAGAGACGGAAGAGAGGGAGAACGAGAGAGAAAAAGAGAGAGAAGAGGGAGGCCAGCGGAGGGCUAGGGAGCCGCCAGAAAGCCGUGGAAGAAGGGCUCCGCUUUAAUCCCCUGUUUUGUUCAAAAUAGGGGCCAGAGGGGGCCUUUUAUUUUUGAGAUUUUUAAGUGAAAGUUGGCAAUGGGUUUGCCGAUUUUCACUUAAAAACACCAAAAAAAAGGGGCCCCUUCGGUCCCUGUUUCGAAUGAAACAGGGGACCGGAGCGAGCCCCUCUUUCGCAGCUCCCUCCGCGCGGCGGCUCCUUGGCCUCCGCCGGCCGGCCUCGACCUUCCUAUCUCUUCCUUUUUCUCCCUCUCCCUCCCUCGUUGUCUCCCUCUUUUCCUCGUUCUCCUUUGUCUUCUCUCCCUUUAGCCCCUGCCUCGUUUUCAUCGCCGGAACCGUCCUGGUUUGCACCCGGUAUGACUCGGGGCGCCCCGAACCGUCCGGUUUGGGACGGUUCCACUAACACUGGAUGACAACCGUGCUUCAUGAGAAGCAUAUGCUAGCGAAUUAUCAUGAUAAGUUGUGCAAACAAUUUGUGUCUUUGAAGUAGGCAGCAUGUCGGUGGCAGAGUAUAUGCAAAGUUUGAUGACUUGAAGACUAGGAGCCAAGAUGUGGAGGAUCCCAUCAAUGCUUGGUUUAUUUAAGGUUGGUUAGAGGCUGAUAUAUGGACAACAUUAAUUUGACAACCAAUUUAUAGCGUGGAACAUGCAUUCCAGGUAGUUCUCAACAUGGAGGAGUAUUUGAGGUUCCCUAACACUAGAAAAAUUAGAUCUCAAGCUAGGGAGCCAAAGUUCCAAGGUUGUUGAAUAGAAGAAUUUGGUGAGCUAAAGACUCAAGUUGUUGCUGAAGAUACGAAAAUGCACCUCACAUCCUAACCAAAAAGUACUUUCAAGUUGAGAGCAAGAAAUCGGAUGUUAUUUGUGCUGUAGAAUCUCAAGAAGUGAAAGAAAUAGCUAUUGGUUAUGACUCAGAUAUGCCUCCGGAAGUAUCUAAGUUGUUGUCUGAGUUUUUUCUGAUGUAGUACCUGAAGAGUUGCCAAAUGAACUCCUUUUGCGUAAUAUUCAACAUGCUAUAGACCCUAUACUAGGGUCUUAAUUUCCUAACCUUCGUACCUAUGGCAUGAAUUCAAGUAGAAGAGCUACUGUCUUGCUUUAUGUACACCAGAGAAGGAUGGUUCUUGGCAUGUGUGUUGAUGGCUAAGCUAUUAACUUGAUUACUGACAAGUAUCGGCAUGGUACACUAUACCAUACCGAAUUGGGCGGUACAAGGCGUACCGUAUUGGUUCAAUACUGGUAAAUGGUAUGGAGGAUGUACCAACAGUCCAUAUGCCAAACUAGCCCUCCGUACCAGGCGUACUGACACAGUGACAAGGUGACACUAGUACAGGGCCUGGUACCGAGACAGCGUACAUUGAGUAUCGGUUUCCACCUUGUGUUGAUGAUAUGUUGGAUGUUACAAGGGGUGAUACUGUCUUUUCAAAGAUAGAUUUGAAGAGUGGCUAUCAUCAAAUCCAUGUAAGGCCUGGUGAGACCAAGGAUGUCCUUUAUGAGUGGGUGGUCAUACUUUUUGGCCUUUCUAGCGCCCCUAGCACAUUCAUGCACCUCAUGAUUCAUAUAUUACAACCCUUUAUUUGCCACUUUGGGGUUGUUUAUUUUUUAUGAUAUUUUGAUAUAUAGUAAGACCAAAGAGGAGCACAUCUCUCAUCCACAACAAGCUAUGAGAGUUCUUCGCCGAGAGAAGUUUUAGACAAAUUUGAAUAAGUGUUUAUUCAUAACUUCAAAGGCUGCCUUUUUUGGUUUUUUUGUUUCUUCUAAAGGAGUGGAGGUUGAUUCGGAAAAAGUUAAAGCUACUCGAGAGUGGCCUAUUCCUUCUACUUUGCAUGAAAUUUGAAGUUUUCAUAGCUACAUUCUAUGAUGCUUCAACAAAAAUUGCAGCACUAUAAUGGCUCUGAUCACUAAUUGCAUGAAGAUAGGACAGUUGUUUUAACCUAGGCAACAACAAAAACAUUUGAAGCAGUUAGGAAAAGGAUGACUGAAGCACCUCUUUUGCACUUUCCGGAUUUUUCUAAGGUUCGAGCUAUUGAGGUGUCGUGAUAUUACAUGUUGGUAUAGGAGCUGUACUUUAGUCAAGAAGGCCAUCUAAUUGCUUAUUUUAGCAAGAAGCUGAAUGAAGCUAAGCAAAAGCAUUCGACUUAUGAUAAAGAAUUCUAUAUUGUGGUUGAUACACUUCAUUAUUGGCAACAUUUUCUUAUUCCUAAGGAGUUUAUGUUGUAUUUCGAGCAUGAAGCUCUUAAACACAUCAACUUUCAAAGUAAAUUGAGUUGUCGCCAUGGCAAGUGGGUUGCUAUUGUACAAGAAUAUGCUUUUGUUAUCAAGUAUAAGGUGGAACUGAAAACAAAUCAAUUGAUGCUCUCAGCUGUGUAGUGGGUCGAGUGGCACUAAUUCUUUCUUCUAUGGCUGUCCAAGUUGUGGGGUUUUAUUUGCUUAAGAAAGAUUAUUUUUCUUGCAAGGAUUUUAGCAUCAUAUAUGCUAAUUUGAUGGCUGGACAGCAUGCCGACCAUUCAGAUUUCUGUUUGUGUAAUGGUUAUCUUUUCAAAGGAACUCACCUUUGCUUGCCUAAUUCCUCUUUACAUGAGCAAGUAAUUAGAGAAUUACAUUCCGCUGGGAUGGCUGGCCGUUGUGGAAGAGAUAAAACCAUUGCAAUGGUUGAGGACUGUUUCUGUUGGCCUAGUUUGAAGCGAGAUAUUGCUAGAAUUGCGUCACAAUGUUGGACUGGUCAAAUUUCAAAGGGAAGAAAGAAAAAAAAAGUUUAUGGAAGAUGCUGAAAAUGAAGCUACAAUUUUUUUCAAUUUCAUCCACAAAUCGAUGGUCAAAGGGAAGCUGUCAAUAGGAGUUUGGGUGAUUUGCUUCAUUGUUGUGUUGGUGAUCAUGUUAAUAAUUAGGAUCAAGUUCUUCUUAUGGCUGAAUUUGCUUAUGUGAAUUAAGUAAAUCAAGCUACAGGUUGUAGUCCCUUCGAGGUUGUAACAGAUUCAGUUCCAAGGAAGCCAGUUGAUCUGGUUCUUUUACCUGUUGAUGCACACCCUAGUGUUGAAGCUGAAGUUUUUGCCAAGCAUAUCUGUGAGAUGAAAUUCGAAGAAAUAUUGCUUUAAGCAAUGAAGGCUAUAAAGAACAUGCUGAUUUGAGGCGAUGAUUUCUGUAUUCAAAGGAGGCGGCAUGGUUAUGGUGUGAAUCAGACCUGAAUGUUAUCCUAAGGUUGCAUACAAGAAACUACAUCCAUAAAGUGCUGGUCCCUACAAGGUUCCAAUGUUUAUAUUCUUGACCUGCCCGAGGAUGUGGGAUUUUCUAAUAUCUUUAAUGUUGAAUAGCUCACUUUUUGUCAAGGCCAUGAUGAUAUGAUGCACAACACGACACAUCCAUUGCUAGACUUCCACUAACUCUAUGUUUGAAGGAGGAGAUUGAAGACAUUGUUGACAAUCAAGUAGUUUCUACAAGAGGUGGUGGCUACCAAAAGUAUAUUGUCAAAUGGAGAGGGCAUUUGCCAUCAGAAUACACAUGGAUCACGGAUAAAGAGCUCCAAAAGCUUGAUCAUGAUCUUUAUGAGAGAUUCCAUGCUUUUAACUUGCUGGAGUCAAGUCUUCUCAAGCCGGGGAGAGAUGAUCAAGGAUGUUGGUAGCAGCCAUUGAAGACCCAUAAAAGGCAUCCUAAGGCUGGUUCUAAUUCUCAAGCCUUGAUUUGGAAUGUAUUGGAUGAUGUGGUUCCCUCUUGGAACCUUGCUUAGGGUCAAUUAGUCAUUAUAGAAUCUUAGUUUUAUUAGUUGAAAAUUACGAUUUGUUAUUUGGAGUCCAAGUCCUAGCCGGAGUAGGAAACUAAAACUCUAUAAAUAGGGCUGUAAUCUCUCAUUAUUUGAAAGGAAAUCUCAGGGAUUUUUCCUAAGCAA